GACGAACGCUGGCGGCGUGCUUAACACAUGCAAGUCGAACGGAGUGGCGAACGGGUGAGUAUUACGUGAGUAACCUGCCCUCAACUGUGGGAUAAGCCUGGGAAACUGGGUCUAAUACUGAAUAGUUGGGGAUGGGCUCGCGGCCUAUCAGCUGGGUGGUGGGGUGAUUGCCUACCAAGGCGGUGACGGGUAGCCGGCCUGGGAGGGUGGUAGGCCACAUUGGGACUGAGAUACGGCCCAUACUCCUACGGGAGGCAGCAGUGGGGGAUAUUGCACAAUUGGCGCAAGCCUGAUGCAGCGAUGCCGCGUGAGGGAUGAAGGCUUUCGGGUUGUAAAGUACUUUCAGCGAGGAGGCGUUACUCGCAGAAGAAGCACCGGCUAACUCCGUGCCAGCAGCCGCGGUAAUUC
rnacentral:rRNA from 1 species